GAUGAACGCUAGCGGCAGGCUUAAUACAUGCAAGUCGAGGGGCAGCAUGAAGUAGCAAUACUUUGAUGGCGACCGGCAAACGGGUGCGGAACACGUACACAACCUUCCUUUAAGUGGGGAAUAGCCCAGAGAAAUUUGGAUUAAUACCCCGUAACACAACGAAGUGGCAUCACUUUGUUGUUAUAGUUUCGGCGCUUAAUGAUGGGUGUGCGUAUGAUUAGAUAGUUGGCGAGGUAACGGCUCACCAAGUCUACGAUCAUUAGCUGAUGUGAGAGCAUGAUCAGCCACACGGGCACUGAGACACGGGCCCGACUCCUACGGGAGGCAGCAGUAAGGAAUAUUGGUCAAUGGACGCAAGUCUGAACCAGCCAUGCCGCGUGAAGGAUUAAGGUCCUCUGGAUUGUAAACUUCUUUUAUAUGGACGAAAAAGGUCUUUACUAGACCCCUUGACGGUACCAUAUGAAUAAGCACCGGCUAACUCCGU
rnacentral:rRNA from 1 species